rnacentral:lncRNA from 1 species
AUGCUUCAUUUCAUAAUAUAAAAAUAGACGACUCCCAAAAACAAUACUAAGAUAAUAAAAAUAAGUCACUACUGGCACUUGGACUUAUUACAUUAUAGGAAAGUAAAUAAAUCUAGUCUAUUUGGUCCAAGAAGGACCUUCCCCAGGCUGAAUGCUCUUAUCGAUCAAAUCCUCCUGUUCGCACAGGUUCAUCAGUAAGAAUGCCUUUGCCAAAUGUCCUCCUUCGUUUUUCCUCAGCGUUCUGGCAGUCGGUGACUCUCUUUCUCACUUUUCCUUCCAAUUCCAACAGAUUGUAUUCCAGAUAUUCCAGCUUUUCACUAGAUUUGACGGCCCGGUCACUUGAUGGAAGAUUCCUCCUCUAGUCUAACAAGAGUGAGGGUAUGCUAACCAUACUGAAGCUGGGGACCUCGUGCCUCAUUUUCUGCAAAGCAAAAGGGUUAGGCCUUUCUCCCCCACUAGACUCAACUAUUUAUACAUUCAUGAUUAGCAUAUUGGCAUUUAGUUCUCCAAAUUAAUGCACAGAAUGUGGUGAUGUCCGUUGGGAUUAUGGAAACCCUGAUGGACUUUUGGAUAAGGCUCGUGUUAAAGGAUUAUUAUAUGGACAACAUAUUAAUCCGACUAGGUUUGACCGUGAUGCAUGCAUAAUUUCAAUCAGAGUAAGGUUACUAUGGGGGUUUAGAUUGGUACCCUCAAGCGGAAGAAAGGCACGAAACCAUCGACUGCACCGCUGAUCGACUGAUUUUACUGCAAAUAAGCCUUUCAGAAUUUAAGGGUAAUAAAUAGGAAGAUCGCAACCACUCAUGAAGCGUUGCUAUAGGAUUUGAUACGCACGAGUGGAGUAUGAUGUGGAGCAUGAUAUAUGCAGCAAUUAAUAGCAUGCAGUCAAGUAUUUGCACGUAAGAAAAAUAAAUACAGUAUUUAAAUAAUUGAAAAGAUAGUUACAGAAAAAGAAAACAAAGAGACAAGUCGGUUUCAUGAAUAAAAGGAACAUAAAUGCUUAAAAUAGGCAGUUAAAUUCAAAUAAGGGGAAAUGGU